AGAGUUUGAUCAUGGCUCAGGAUGAACGCUGGCGGCGUGCCUAACACAUGCAAGUCGAGCGAUCUUCUUCGGAAGAGAGCGGCGGACGGGUGAGUAACGCGUGGGUAACCUGCCUCAUACACAUGGAUAACAUACCGAAAGGUAUGCUAAUACAAGAUGAUAUAAGAGAUUCGCAUGGAUUUCUUAUCAAAGCUCCGGCGGUAUGAGAUGGACCCGCGUCUGAUUAGCUAGUCGGUAAGGUAACGGCUUACCAAGGCGACGAUCAGUAGCCGACCUGAGAGGGUGAUCGGCCACAUUGGAACUGAGACACGGUCCAAACUCCUACGGGAGGCAGCAGUGGGGAAUAUUGCACAAUGGGCGAAAGCCUGAUGCAGCAACGCCGCGUGAGCGAUGAAGGCCUUCGGGUCGUAAAGCUCUGUCCUCAAGGAAGAUAAUGACGGUACUUGAGGAGGAAGCCCCGGCUAACUACGUGCCAGCAGCCGCGGUAAUACGUAGGGGGCUAGCGUUAUCCGGAUUUACUGGGCGUAAAGGGUGCGUAGGUGGUUUCUUAAGUCAGGAGUGAAAGGCUACGGCUCAACCGUAGUAAGCUCUUGAAACUGGGAAACUUGAGUGCAGGAGAGGAAAGUGGAAUUCCUAGUGUAGCGGUGAAAUGCGUAGAUAUUAGGAGGAACACCAGUAGCGAAGGCGGCUUUCUGGACUGUAACUGACACUGAGGCACGAAAGCGUGGGGAGCAAACAGGAUUAGAUACCCUGGUAGUCCACGCCGUAAACGAUGAGUACUAGGUGUCUGGGGUUACCCCCCUCGGUGCCGCAGCUAACGCAUUAAGUACUCCGCCUGGGGAGUACGCUCGCAAGAGUGAAACUCAAAGGAAUUGACGG
rnacentral:rRNA from 1 species